UGUCACCGAUAGCGCAUAGUACCGUGAGGGAACGGUGAAAAGAACCCAGAGAUGGGAGUGAAAUAGAACCUGAAACCAUAAGCUUACAAGGAGUCAGAGCACAUUAAUGUGUGAUGGCGUGCCUUUUGAAGUAUGAGCCUGCGAGUUAUUGUUAUAUGCGAGGUUAAGCAGUAGAUGUGGAGCCGUAGGGAAACCGAGUCUUAAUAGGGCGAUUAGUAUAUGACAAUAGACGCGAAACGGGAUGAUCUAGUCAUGAGCAGGUUGAAGGUGGAGUAACAUCCACUGGAGGACCGAACCCACGUUCGUUGAAACGACCGGGGAUGACUUGUGACUAGCGGUGAAAUUCCAAUCGAAUUCCGUGAUAGCUCGUUCUCGCCGAAAUAUUUUUAGGAAUAGCCUUGGAUUACGAAACAUUGGGGGUAAAGCUCUGAAACUACAAUGGCGUCAUCUCGACGUACUGAGUAGUAUUAAACUGCAAAUACCAUUGUUUUUAUUCCAGGAGUCAGACGAUGGGGGAUAAGCUUCAUUGUCGCGAGGGUAACAGCCCAGACCAUUAAUUAAGGUCCCCAAUAUAUGCUAAGUGGAAAACGAUGUUGAUUUUCUUAGACAGUAAGGAUGUUGGCUCAGAAGCAGCCACCGUUUAAAGAGUGCGUAACAGCUCACUUAUCGAGAGAAUCUGCGCGGAAGAUGUAACGGGGCUAAGCAUAUAACCGAAGUUAUGGAUCAUGUGUAAACAUGGUGGUAGGCGAGCGUUGUAAUUGCAGCGAAGGUAGAGCGUGAGCACUAUUGGAGCGAUUACAAGUGAGAAUGCAGGUGUGAGUAACGAAUGAAAGUGAGAAUCUUUCAAGCCGAUAGACUAAGGUUUCCUGGGCAAGGGUCGUCCUCCCAGGGUUAGUCGGUACCUAAGAUGAGGCAGAAAUGCGUAGUCGAUGGACAACAGGUUAAUAUUCCUGUACUAAUUACUAGAAUGAUGGAAUGACGGAGAAGGUUAAUAGGAGCCACUUAUUGGAUUGUGGUUCAAAUAGCAACUGAGACGGGACAGGCAAAUCCGUUCCGUGUAAUCAGGAGUUAUGACGACGAGCGAACGUUUCGACCAGUAGCGUAGUCCUAAACAUCAUGCUUCCAAGAAAAGUUUCUAAGUUUAUCUAGUAAUUAUCCGUACCGAGAACGAACACACGUGGUCAGGUAUAAAUGUACCAAGGCUUGCGAGUUAACUACAGUUAAGGAACUCUGCAAAUUGACCCCGUAAGUUAGCGAUAAGGGGUGCUCCAUUAUGUGGAGCCGCAGUGAAUAGCGAGGGGGGACUGUUUAACAAAAACACAGCUUUAUGCUAAGUCGUAAGACGAUGUAUAUGAGGUGACACCUGCCCAAUGCUGUAAGGUUAAAGAAGGGUGUUAGUAGCAAUACGAAGCUCGUGACUGAAGCCCCAGUGAAUGGCGGCCGUAACUAUAACGGUCCUAAGGUAGCGAAAUUCCUUGUCGGGUAAAUUCCGUCCCGCUUGAAU
rnacentral:rRNA from 1 species